UAUCAUGGCUCAGGACGAACGCUGGCGGCGCGCCUAACACAUGCAAGUCGAACGAGCAAAGAGGAGCUUGCUUCUCUGAGCGAGUGGCGAACGGGUGAGUAACGCGUGAGGAACCUGCCUCAAAGAGGGGGACAACAGUUGGAAACGACUGCUAAUACCGCAUAAGCCCACGGGUCGGCAUCGACCAGAGGGAAAAGGAGCAAUCCGCUUUGAGAUGGCCUCGCGUCCGAUUAGCUAGUUGG
rnacentral:rRNA from 1 species